UGCCCCAUGGCUGAGUUGGUUACAGCGUCCGACUGUUAUCGUCUUCUCGUAUGGUAGAUAGUUUACAUCGGAAGGUCGUGAGUUCGAGCCUCACUGGGGCAG